AGAUUACCUUCACCACUGUUUCUAUUCUCCUACAUUUUAUCUAUCCACCACCAGACUCUGCUAAUUCUCAUUUCUUACCUUCUCUCAACUAAAUUUCCUACAUUUCUUUAUUUCUGUGCAAGUUUAGAAGAAAAACCUUGAAGUUAUAUGCGCCAGGAUACAAAGAUGUAAGAGGCAUGGGUGACCAACUGCACGUCAACUACUCAAAAUUCUGCUAUGAUACACCUCUGGACAACAAAGGACACAAGUGUGCACAUUGGAAGUGACCUUCUGCCCCUGUCUGCAGCUUUCUACACUGUAGAAGAGCCAUCUCUCUAACUUGGUUUUUGUUGAAGAAAUAAAAGCUUAUCCUCAACAGAGUAGCAGCAAGAGUUUUUGACACGUGGAAGCAUCUCAGCUGUUGGCUCUAUCACAUGUGCUUCACCGACCAUUUACAGCUUUCAUGCUGUUGCAGUUCUAAGUUUAAAGCACUCUCCCUCCCCACCAAACACAAAAAUAGGAGCUUAUGUUUCGCUCUUUUCAUAUGUUUUUGUGUACAAGACGCUUAUGUUUUCCCUCUCAGUCCUAAAAGAAAACUUCUACCUGGCUGAAGUUG